AAGCCCCGCUGAUCUUGAACGUGAUUGGUCGGUGGGCGUAUAGAAUCUCCGUCGUCAGGGAGACUGCGAACACGGGGUAAACCAAGGGGUAAACAAUCUGUGCGUGGAAUGGGGAGUGGUGAAUGCGCAAGGGCGAUGAUAGGCGCUGAUGUCGUCGAUUUUUAUUUAUGCUAUUAUCCUUAUACAUUCUGAUCAUUUUUUAUGUUCAGGAGUUUUCUCUGUUGAUUUAACAUAAAAAGCGGUGUGUUUAACUGUUAUUGCCAAGUGCCAUAUUUAUAUUGAAAUUGGGGUACAAUUCAACAUUCACUGGUUUUUCUAUGGCCUGUUGUGCAUCAUAUUAUUGGAAUGGUAAUGUGAAUAUAGGUACUCCAUACACUGCUACUUUUGGGUAUAUAUAAAUGUUUGACCUGAUUUUACUUCACUUCACCUUAUAUUUUUUUGCAGGAACAGUUAUCACACCAUUAUUGUGCAAAAAAUAAGGGUGGUUUAACGCGGCACUCUGCCAGCCACUUUUGGCUUCCAUAGACAUCAACAAGCCUAUGCCUCCAACACUACCAGAGGUUGACGCUAGCUCCACGGAAUGUGCUGGCAGCUGCUGGCAGCGCGCCCAUGAAACACAGCCAGGGGUUUCCUCUGUAAAGUCAUUAUUGUCUAGGUACAUGAGCCUUUAGCAAUUGUUAACAGCUAUAAAAAUUGGAAUUAGAAAUGUUCAGGUAUUAUCAGCAUCAGCUAAACAGGGAAGAGAAUUCGGCUACAGCCCAUCUUGCAACGCCUCAAUGAAAUUUAACGAGAAACUUAAAUUGAGGGAGCAGCUACAUAACUGAGAUCCCGAAAGAAGAUAACAGCUUGUUUUCUUCACCGCCACCAGUCUACCUGCUCUCUGCACACUCGGCAGAGCGCGGCAGGGCACCCCACGGAGCUGCACUAGUCACAUCCGGGCCCCACGCCGGUCGACGGCCGAUGCGCCGCUGGGAGGCCUGCGGCGCGGACGACGGAUGCGGCAGUUGGUCAAGACACGGCAGCCUACUCGAGGUGCUUCUCGCCUGGAGGACGCAGGCGAAUCGCGUUAUCCGAGCUGUGCCUCGUCAUGGUGCGAUGAGCCUUAAUAGACUAAUGCAUAUUCUUCCUUUGGCUGUAAUUCAUUUGCUGCUGCCCGCUGGGCUAAGGAGUAACUCUGGGCGCCUACUUUGGGCAGACGCUCGUCCAGUGCCGCUCUUCGUUUGCCGCA